AUACGGAGGGGGUUAGCGUUGUUCGGAAUUACUGGGCGUAAAGCGUACGUAGGCGGAUUAGUAAGUUAGGGGUGAAAUCCCAGGGCUCAACCCUGGAACUGCCUCUAAAACUGCUAGUCUAGAGAUCGUGAGAGGUGAGUGGAAUUCCGAGAGUAGAGGUGAAAUUCGUAGAUAUUCGGAGGAACAUCAGUGGCGAAGGCGGCUCACUGGCACGAUACUGACGCUGAGGUACGAAAGUGUGGUGAGCAAACAGGAUUAGAAACCCUAGUAGUCC
rnacentral:rRNA from 1 species